rnacentral:rRNA from 1 species
CCUACGGGUGGCAGCAGUGGGGGAUAUUGCACAAUGGGGGGAACCCUGAUGCAGCGACGCCGCGUGGGUGAAGGAGCUUUCCGGCGCGUAAAGCCCUAUCUGCAGGGACGAAGAUGGCGUUACCUGACCCAGAAUCCCCGUCUAACUACGUGCCAGCAGCCCCGGUUAUACGUAGGGGGCCAGCGUUAUCCGGAUUUACUGGUUGUAAGGGGGGCGCAGUCGGCAAUGCAAGCAAGGAGUGAAAGCCCGGGGCCCAACCCCGGGACUGCUCGUGGAACUGCAUGGAUGGAGUACAGGAGGGGCAGGCGGAAUUCCCAGUGUAGCGGUGAAAUGCGUAGAUAUUAGGAGGAACACCGGUGGCGAAGGCGGCCUGCUGGACUGUGACUGACGUUGAGGCCCGAAGGCGUGGGGAGCAAACAGGAUUAGAUACCCCUGUAGUC